rnacentral:rRNA from 1 species
AUUGCACGCUGGCGGCAGGCCUAACACAUGCACGUCGGACGAGUGGCGGACGGGUGAGUAAUGUCUGGGAAACUGCCUGAUGGAGGGGGAUAACUACUGGAAACGGUAGCUAAUACCACAUACCCUCGUAUCAACCCCUAGUGGAUUAGCUUGUAGGUGGGGUAACGGCUCACCUAGGCGACGAUCCCUAGCUGGUCUGAGAGGAUGACCAGCCACACGGGAAAUGAGAAACGGUCCAGACUCCGACGUGAGGCAGGAGUGGGGAAUAUUGCACAAUGGGCGCAAGCCUGAUGCAGCCAUGCCGCGUGUAGGAAGAAGGCCUUCGGGUUGUAAAGUACUGUCAGCGGGGAGGCGUUACCCGCAGAAGAAGCACCGGCUAACUCCGGGCCAGCAGCCGCGGUAAUAC